GGUUAACCUACCCUCAGGACGGGGACAAACCCGGGAAACUGGGGCUAAUACCAGAUAGGCGAGGGCGCCUGGAAUGGUUCUUCACCCAAAGGGCUUUGGAAACAUGCUUUUCAAAGUCGCCUGGGGAUGGGGCCGCGUCCGAUCAGGUUGUUGGUGAGGUAAUGGCUCACCAAGCCUAUAACCGGUACGGGCCGUGAGAGCGGUAGCCCGGAGAUGGGCACUGAUACAAGGGCCCAGGCCCUACGGGGCGCAGCAGUCGCGAAAACUCCGCAAUGCACGAAAGUGUGACGGGGCUACCCCGAGUGCCGUCCGCUGAGGAUGGCUUUUCCUCGGUGUAACUAGCCGGGGGAAUAAGGAGAGGGCAAGACUGGUGUCAGCCGCCGCGGCAAUACCAGCUCUCCGAGUUGUAGGGAUGAUUAUUGGGCUUAAAGCGUCCGUAGCUGGCUUAGCAAGUCUCCUGUUAAAUUCAGCGACCUAAUCGUUG
rnacentral:rRNA from 1 species